AAAUAUGUUAGUUUACCUAAAAUCUGUAAAUCCCAAGUAACUUCUGAAAAAGGCUGAAACGUGUUUACAAUUUACGAGGGCUGCCUUAAGCAAAUUGUUACCGUUGGGCUGUACCAAAUGCACUAUAUUAUACCCAUUGGUUUCACUUUCUCAACAGACCCAUUUCUCCCAUCUGCUUGCUCUCUAUCUUUCUUCUCUGUUACCACUUCCUCUCUAACUUUCCCAGCAGACCCUAAGUUCUGUUUUUGUGAGUGUCACCCGGUGAACUCAACCGGUAACCUGCCACCGGAGAGAACCAUCAUCCGCUAGAACCACCAUGUUUCUAAAAGUUACACUUCUCUUCGGUGAACAAGUUUUCCUUACAUCUCAAUUCAAGCAAUGGGAUCCAGGAAGAGAAAACAAAAGCUCUAUUUACAGCAACUUUGAUUUCCUUGAUUAAUGAAGGAAAGUUUGGAGCUUUUUCUUUGCCUCCAUCCCAACUUCUAUACUUGCAGCAGUGUAUUGUAUUUUAUUUAUUUACGUGAGUUCAGGCGGUGUCUCAACUUGCUUUUGUAUUGUGAUUUGAACAACUUUCGAAGCGGUUUAUCUUGAGUUUCUCUCUGUUUAUGGGUUUCUCCAUACCACAUUAUACUGCAUACCAAAGCUCGUUGGAUAUGUUUGCAUUCUUUCAUCGCCAUAAUUAGAGAAACCGAGACGCCAACUAGUGGGAUCGAUAACUGAUAGUAGGAUUGCCAAGUCUCUCCUUUUGUAGUGUUAUUGUUGAUUAUUGUAUUAAGCUUUAUAGUGUUAUUGUUGAUUAUUGUAUUAAGCUUUAUUUCAUAUGAUUAUAUGUAUAUGUUACAUUACUUGCAGUAGAAUAUAUAUUUACAAUAUAUAUUA